AUGAGAGGCCUCUCCAUCUGCAUCACCUGCCUCCUGAGUGUGUUCCAGGCUGUCACUAUCAGUCCGAGGACCUCUUUGUUGGCAAAAUUUAAACAUAAACUUAAAACAUACACAAUCUAUGCUUUCUUCUACCUCUGGUCUUUCAAUUUGUCAUUCAGUAGUAGGUGGAUCUUCUAUGUCGGUGCUUUUACCAAUGUGAGUGAGAGCAACCAGAUGAAGGUCACCAAAUAUUGCUCAAUCUUCCCCAAGAACUACAUCAUUAGUGCACUGUCUUCAACAGUGACAAUCUUCAGAGAUGUCUUUCUUGUAGGAGUUAUGCUGACCACAAGUGCAUACAUGGUGAUCAUCUUGUUUAGACAUCAGAGGCAAUGUAAGCAUCUUCACAGCAUCAGCCAACCGAGAGUGUCCCCUGAGAAGAGGGCCACCCAGACCAUCUUGCUGCUGGUGGUUGUCUUUGUGGUCAUGUACUGGGUGGACUUCAUCAUCUCAUCCACCUCAGUACUGUUAUGGAAGUACAACCCAGUCAUCCUUACUGUUCAGAAGUUUGUGAUGAAUGCCUAUCCCACAAUUACUCCUUUGGUACAAAUCAGUUCUGAUAACAGAAUAACCAAUAUUCUGAAAAAGAUAUAAUCAGUGUGCCACCAAAUUUUUUAA